CGGAGAAAGGAGAGCACGGAGAGGGAAGAAGGUUAUAACACAGCAACACACUCACACACUUCCACCUGCGCUCAUACGGAAAUGCACACCAGUAUAUUCACCAGUGAACGUAACCCAGAAUGGAGGUUUUGUUGGAGCUCCUGGAAUCUUACAUGCGUAGCGGGCUUGCUACCUGAAGCUUAAGUCCUGCGGUAUUACCAACACGACACUACCACCUUUACCUAGCGCUUACAUUUGAGAGUCCAUCGUUCAAAUACUGGUACAACGCAUUUUCUCUACUCCUCAGUUACAACAACUAUUCCUACGGCAACCGGGCUUAUAUGACUACCACCAUCAGUUUGAAUGUCAUCAUCGUUAUCAUAAUCUACUACUUCUACUGCCACUACUACCACUAUUUCCAUCAAUAACAAGAAAUCAAACUUUUCUUCUUCUUCCUCGUC